AGAGUUUGAUCCUGGCUCAGGACGAACGCUGGCGGCGCGCCUAACACAUGCAAGUCGAACGGAGCUGUUUUCUCUGAAGUUUUCGGAUGGAAGAGAGUUCAGCUUAGUGGCGAACGGGUGAGUAACACGUGAGCAACCUGCCUUUCAGUGGGGGACAACAUUUGGAAACGAAUGCUAAUACCGCAUAAGACCACAGUGUCGCAUGGCACAGGGGUCAAAGGAUUUAUCCGCUGAAAGAUGGGCUCGCGUCCGAUUAGCUAGAUGGUGAGGUAACGGCCCACCAUGGCGACGAUCGGUAGCCGGACUGAGAGGUUGAACGGCCACAUUGGGACUGAGACACGGCCCAGACUCCUACGGGAGGCAGCAGUGGGGAAUAUUGCACAAUGGGGGAAACCCUGAUGCAGCGACGCCGCGUGGAGGAAGAAGGUCUUCGGAUUGUAAACUCCUGUCCCAGGGGACGAUAAUGACGGUACCCUGGGAGGAAGCACCGGCUAACUACGUGCCAGCAGCCGCGGUAAAACGUAGGGUGCAAGCGUUGUCCGGAAUUACUGGGUGUAAAGGGAGCGCAGGCGGACCGGCAAGUUGGAAGUGAAAACUAUGGGCUCAACCCAUAAAUUGCUUUCAAAACUGCUGGCCUUGAGUAGUGCAGAGGUAGGCGGAAUUCCCGGUGUAGCGGUGGAAUGCGUAGAUAUCGGGAGGAACACCAGUGGCGAAGGCGGCCUACUGGGCACCAACUGACGCUGAGGCUCGAAAGCAUGGGUAGCAAACAGGAUUAGAUACCCUGGUAGUCCAUGCCGUAAACGAUGAUUACUAGGUGU
rnacentral:rRNA from 1 species